rnacentral:sRNA from 1 species
CUAGCAACGGAUCAGAGCGGCGAGCUGGGCGUGAGAAAUGAAAGGCGAUUGAUUGAUCACAUUGUGGAUAUUUGCUUGGAGCGCUGCUCGGUAUAUGUGGGAGAUAUCAGAAGUUGAAUGUUGGAAAAUGGAUGAUGCGCGUUAGUUUCAGCCUUUGUAGCUGCAGUUGGCAGUUGUCGAUCUGGAUCCCAGCGUGGUUGACCAAAACGAGCCGGCAGAGUAUUCUAUUCGUUAUCUUAGCAGAAGGCUGUUUCAUCCUAUCGCGUAUCGCCAUCAGUGUGUUUUGGAGUAAAUAUUGAUCAGUCAGUGAGAGGCGCCUGGAUUCCUCAG